GAUGAACGCUGGCGGCGUGCCUAAUACAUGCAAGUCGAGCGAACAGAUGAGGAGCUUGCUCCUCUGACGUUAGCGGCGGACGGGUGAGUAACACGUGGAUAACCUACCUAUAAGACUGGGAUAACUUCGGGAAACCGGAGCUAAUACCGGAUAAUAUAUUGAACCGCAUGGUUCAAUAGUGAAAGACGGUUUUGCUGUCACUUAUAGAUGGAUCCGCGCCGCAUUAGCUAGUUGGUAAGGUAACGGCUUACCAAGGCAACGAUGCGUAGCCGACCUGAGAGGGUGAUCGGCCACACUGGAACUGAGACACGGUCCAGACUCCUACGGGAGGCAGCAGUAGGGAAUCUUCCGCAAUGGGCGAAAGCCUGAUGGAGCAACGCCGCGUGAGUGAUGAAGGUCUUCGGAUCGUAAAACUCUGUUAUUAGGGAAGAACAAAUGUGUAAGUAACUAUGCACGUCUUGACGGUACCUAAUCAGAAAGCCACGGCUAACUACGUG
rnacentral:rRNA from 1 species